UAAACGACUCUCGGCAACGGAUAUCUCGGCUCUCGCAUCGAUGAAGAACGUAGCGAAAUGCGAUACUUGGUGUGAAUUGCAGAWUCCCGUGAACCAUCGAGUCUUUGAACGCAAGUUGCGCCCGAAGCCAUUAGGCCGAGGGCACGCCUGCCUGGGCGUCACAC
rnacentral:rRNA from 1 species